CCCAGAUCGUUUACCGUGAAAAAAUUAGAGUGUUCAAAGCAGGCAGAUCCAAUUUUCUGCCACCGAAUACAUUAGCAUGGGAUAAUGGAAUAGGACCCUGUCCUCCUAUUUUCAGUUGGUUUUGGCAGCGCGAGGACUAGGGUAAUGAUUAAUAGGGAUAGUUGGGGGCAUUAAUAUUUAAUUGUCAGAGGUGAAAUUCUUGGAUUUAUGAAAGAUUAACUUCUGCGAAAGCAUCUGCCAAGGAUGUUUUCAUUAAUCAAGAACGAAAGUUAGGGGAUCGAAGACGAUCAGAUACCGUCGUAGUCUUAACCAUAAACGAUGCCGACCAGCGAUUAGGAGACGUUGAAUACAAAACACCACCAUCGGUUGCGGUCGUCCUUGGCGUCUCGGUUUCGGCCGGGGCGCGGGGACGGUUUAGCCCGGUGGCACCGGUGAAUGACUCCCCUAGCAGCUUGUGAGA
rnacentral:rRNA from 1 species